rnacentral:rRNA from 1 species
AGUAGGACGCACAGUUUAUACCGUAGCUUGCUACACCAUAGACUGUGAGUUGCGAACGGGUGAGUAACGCGUAGGUAACCUGCCUAUUAGAGGGGGAUAACUAUUGGAAACGAUAGCUAAUACCGCAUAACAGUAUGUAACACAUGUUAGAUGCUUGAAAGAUGCAAUUGCAUCGCUAGUAGAUGGACCUGCGUUGUAUUAGCUAGUAGGUAGGGUAAAGGCCUACCUAGGCAACGAUACAUAGCCGACCUGAGAGGGUGAUCGGCCACACUGGGACUGAGACACGGCCCAGACUCCUACGGGAGGCAGCAGUAGGGAAUCUUCGGCAAUGGGGGGAACCCUGACCGAGCAACGCCGCGUGAGUGAAGAAGGUUUUCGGAUCGUAAAGCUCUGUUGUUAAGGAAGAACGAGUGUGAGAAUGGAAAGUUCAUACUGUGACGGUACUUAACCAGAAAGGGACGGCUAACUACGUGCCAGCAGCCGCGGUAAUACGUAGGUCCCGAGCGUUGUCCGGAUUUAUUGGGCGUAAAGCGAGCGCAGGCGGUUAGAAAAGUCUGAAGUGAAAGGCAGUGGCUCAACCAUUGUAGGCUUUGGAAACUGUUUAACUUGAGUGCAGAAGGGGAGAGUGGAAUUCCAUGUGUAGCGGUGAAAUGCGUAGAUAUAUGGAGGAACACCGGUGGCGAAAGCGGCUCUCUGGUCUGUAACUGACGCUGAGGCUCGAAAGCGUGGGGAGCGAACAGGAUUAGAUACCCUGGUAGUCCACGCCGUAAACGAUGAGUGCUAGGUGUUAGGUCCUUUCCGGGACUUAGUGCCGCAGCUAACGCAUUAAGCACUCCGCCUGGGGAGUACGACCGCAAGGUUGAAACUCAAAGGAAUUGACGGGGGCCCGCACAAGCGGUGGAGCAUGUGG